GGAAACUGGGGAUAAUACCGGAUAAGCCAUAGACGCUGGAAUGCCCUAUGGUUCAAAGCUCCGGCGCCUAAGGAUGGAUCUGCGGUCUAUCAGGUUGUAGUGGGUGUAACGUACCUACUAGCCGACGACGGAUACGGGUUGUGAGAGCAAGAGCCCGGAGAUGGAUUCUGAGACACGGAUCCAGGCCCUACGGGGUGCAGCAGGCGCGAACACUUUACAAUGCGGGAAACCGCGAUAAGGGAACCCCGAGUGCCAGCAUCAAAUGUUGGCUGUCCGGAUGAUUAAAAAUCAUUUGUUAGCAAGGGCCGGGCAAGACCGGUGCCAGCCGCCGCGGUAACACCGGCGGCCCGAGUGGUAGCCGUUUUUAUUGGGUCUAAAGGGUCCGUAGCCGGCCUGAUCAGUCCUUUGGGAAAUCUGGCAGCUUAACUGUCAGGCUUCUAAGGGAUACUGUCAGGCUUGGGACCGGAAGAGGUAAGGGGUACUCCAGGGGUAGGAGUGAAAUCUUGUAAUCCCUGGGGGACCAUCUGUGGCGAAGGCGCCUUACCAGAACGGGUCCGACGGUGAGGGACGAAAGCUAGGGGAGCAAACCGGAUUAGAUACCCGGGUAGUCCUAGCUGUAAACGAUGCUCGCUAGGUGUCAGACACGGUGCGACCGUGUUUGGUGCCGCAGGGAAGCCGUUAAGCGAGCCACCUGGGAAGUACGGUCGCAAGGCUGAAACUUAAAGGAAUUGGCGGGGGAGCACUACAACGGGUGGAGCCUGCGGUUUAAUUGGAUUCAACGCCGGA
rnacentral:rRNA from 1 species